rnacentral:rRNA from 1 species
CCCUUAGAUGUUCUGGGCGGCCCGCGCACUACAUUGGCACUGGCAACAAGAUCCUAGAUCUGGUAUUUCGGGGUAUUCUACCAACUGGUGUCGUGACUGGGAUUAACCCCUGCAAUUAUUGGUUAUGAACGAGGAGUUCCUUGUAAUCACGGUUUAUCAACCCGUGUUGAAUGCGUCCCUGCCCUUUGUACACACCGCCCGUCGCUCCUACCGAUGAAUCGUCCGGUGAAGUUCAUGGAGUCGCGGCUGCUCCAGCUGUUUUCGAAGUGAAAUGGACCUCAUGAUUUAGAGGAAGGAGAAGUCGUAACA